rnacentral:rRNA from 1 species
GACGAACGCUGGCGGCGUGCCUAAUACAUGCAAGUUGAGCGCUGAAGGUUGGUACUUGUACCGACUGGAUGAGCAGCGAACGGGUGAGUAACGCGUGGGGAAUCUGCCUUUGAGCGGGGGACAACAUUUGGAAACGAAUGCUAAUACCGCAUAAAAACUUUAAACACAAGUUUUAAGUUUGAAAGAUGCAAUUGCAUCACUCAAAGAUGAUCCCGCGUUGUAUUAGCUAGUUGGUGAGGUAAAGGCUCACCAAGGCGAUGAUACAUAGCCGACCUGAGAGGGUGAUCGGCCACAUUGAGACUGAGACACGGCCCAAACUCCUACGGGAGGCAGCAGUAGGGAAUCUUCGGCAAUGGACGAAAGUCUGACCGAGCAACGCCGCGUGAGUGAAGAAGGUUUUCGGAUCGUAAAACUCUGUUGGUAGAGAAGAACGUUGGUGAGAGUGGAAAGCUCAUCAAGUGACGGUAACUACCCAGAAAGGGACGGCUAACUACGU